rnacentral:rRNA from 1 species
CCUACGGGAGGCUGCAGUGAGGAAUCUUGGUCAAUGGGCGCGAGCCUGAACCAGCCAAGUCGCGUGAGGGAAGACGGUCCUAUGGAUUGUAAACCUCUUUUGUCGGGGAGCAAAAGACGCCACGUGUGGCGUUCCGAGAGUACCCGAAGCUACAGCAUCGGCUAACUCCGGGUCAGCAGCCGCGGUAAUACGGAGGAUGCGAGCGUUAUCCGGAUUCAUUGGGUGUAAAGGGUGCGCAGGCGGAAGAUCAAGUCAGCGGUAAAAUUGAGAGGCUCAACCUCUGCGAGCCGUUGAAACUGGUUGUCUUGAGUGAAGGAGAGGAAUGCGGAAUGCGAGGUGUAGCGGUGAAAUGCAUAGAUAUAACGCAGAACUCCGAUGGCGAAGGCAGCAUACCGGCGCGCAACUGACGCUCAUGCACGAAAGUGUGGGUAGCGAACAGGAUUAGAUACCCGAGUAGUC